AAUUGUCAGGUGGUGUAUAGAAUAUUUGAGGAAAAUUAAAAAAAUUUGGGAGGAAGAAAGAUCCAUAUAUUAUUUAGCCGAAACAUGAUAUGAUACAUUUAUGAUUGAUGUAUGACUUCCAUUCUCUGGGAAAAAAGUCCCUUUUUUGCCAUACUUACUGCCCCUGUUGUCCUUCAGUGAUACAAUAAAGACUGCUUCUUCCACCAUUCUCUGGGAAAAACCCUUUUUUGCUAUGCUUACUACCCCUGUUGUCCUUCAGCAACACAAUGAAGACUGCUUCUUCCUCCAUUCUCUGGAAAAAAGUCCCUUUUUUGCCAUACUUACUGCCCCUGUUUGUCCUUCAGCGACACAAUAAAGUAUAUAUAAUGUAAUGCUUUAGAAUCCAUAUGCUGAUGUGCGAGAUGAAGUUGGAAUCCAUGGCGGCAACAGAGAAACUGUUUCCUUCCUUAAUGGAAGAAACUGCUAAAGAACAAUGGCAAAAAAACAGAAUUUACAAAAUUUAUAUUAA